GAUUUAUAAAGAAGAGGUAAGAGACAGGCUCUAUGACCCUCUGGCAACCAACUGUAAGUCCGACGAAAGUCGAGAUUGGAAAACCGGUGCCAAUUCCUGAUUUCAAUCCCAAAGUGGGUGCGAAAGAAUAUAAAUG
rnacentral:ncRNA from 2 species